AUACGGAGGGUGCAAGCGUUACUCGGAUUCACUGGGCUUAAAGCGCACGUAGGCGGCAUCGUAAGUCCAUUGUGAAAUCCCCCGGCUCAACCGGGGAAUGGCGAUGGAUACUGCGGAGCUUGAGGACGGUAGGGGAGAGUGGAACUCCUGGUGGAGCGGUGAAAUGCGUAGAUAUCAGGAGGAACACCGGUGGUGAAGACGACUCUCUGGUCCGUUUCUGACGCUGAGGUGCGAAAGCCAGGGGAGCGAACGGGAUUAGAUACCCCGGUAGUCCUGGCCCUAAACGAUGAGCACUAGGUAGUGGAGAUUCCUACGUUUUCACUGCUGAAGCGAAAGUGUUAAGUGCUCCGCCUGGGGAGUACGGUCGCAAGACUGAA
rnacentral:rRNA from 1 species